ensembl:rRNA 5S_rRNA 5S ribosomal RNA
GUCUACAGCCAUGUCACUCUGAGUGCGCCAGUUCUCCUCUGAUCUCGGAAGCUGAGCAGGGUUGCGCCUGGUUAGUACCUGGAGGGAGAAAUCGCAGGCGAGGCCGGCUGGCUAGGGGGA